UGCAGCUUAGCUCAGUUGGUUAGAGCAUGGUGUUGACGACCCCAAGGUCACAGGUUCAAUCCCCAUACGGGACAGCUGCAC